rnacentral:lncRNA from 1 species
UCAUCUCCAUCUCAGCACUGAAGAAACCAAGGUUCAAGGAGGCAAAAUAUUCAGAUGAACCACAUGAAACUGUCAAUAUUCAUCAUCAUCCAACAGAAAUGGCAAGUUAGUAAUUUCCCACAAGCCUCAGAGCAGGGCUCCCAUCAUCUGUGAGUAUGGCUAAAAAUUUGGAUAAUCAUUUUGUCCUCGUGCAUCUGAGAAUGAC